rnacentral:tRNA from 1 species
GGUCUUGUAGUUGAAAAGACAACGGCGAGUUGCAGCCUCGAAAGUGGGGUAGGUCCCCCCAGGAUCU